rnacentral:rRNA from 1 species
GGGGAAUUUUGGACAAUGGGGGCAACCCUGAUCCAGCCAUGCCGCGUGAGUGAAGAAGGUCUUCGGAUUGUAAAGCACUUUAAGUUGGGAGGAAGGGCUGCAAGUUAAUACCUUGUAGUUUUGACGUUACCAACAGAAUAAGCACCGGCUAACUACGUGCCAGCAGCCGCGGUAAUACGUAGGGUGCGAGCGUUAAUCGGAAUUACUGGGCGUAAAGCGUGCGCAGGCGGUUUUGUAAGACAGGCGUGAAAUCCCCGGGCUCAACCUGGGAACUGCGCUUGUGACUGCAAGACUAGAGUACGGCAGAGGGGGGUGGAAUUCCACGUGUAGCAGUGAAAUGCGUAGAGAUGUGGAGGAACACCAAUGGCGAAGGCAGCCCCCUGGGUCGAUACUGACGCUCAUGCACGAAAGCGUGGGGAGCAAACA